GAUGAACGCUGGCGGCGUGCCUAAUACAUGCAAGUCGAGCGAACAGACGAGGAGCUUGCUCCUCUGACGUUAGCGGCGGACGGGUGAGUAACACGUGGAUAACCUACCUAUAAGACUGGGAUAACUUCGGGAAACCGGAGCUAAUACCGGAUAAUAUAUUGAACCGCAUGGUUCAAUAUUGAAAGACGGUUUUGCUGUCACUAAUAGUUGGAUCCGCGCCGCAUUAGCAAGUGGGUAAGGAAACGGCUUACAAAGGCAACGAAGCGAAGCCGACUUGAGAGGGGGAUCGGCCACACUGGACUGGGGACACGGUCCAGACCCCUACGGGAGGCACCAGUGGGGAAUCUUCCGCAAUGGGCGAAGGCCUGACGGAGCAACGCCGCGUGGUUGAGGAGGGUCUUCGGAUCUAAAAACUCGGUUAUUAGGGAAGAACAAAUGUGUAAGUAACUAUGCACGUCUUGACGGUACCUAAUCAGAAAGCCACGGCUAACUACGUG
rnacentral:rRNA from 1 species